rnacentral:rRNA from 1 species
AGAGUUUGAUCCUGGCUCAGAAUCAACGCUGGCGGCGCGCCUAACACAUGCAAGUCGAGCGAGAAAGCAGGAGCAAUCUUGUGAGUAAAGCGGCGUACGGGUGAGUAACACGUGGAUUAUCUACCUCUUUGUGGGGGAUAACCCUGGGAAACCGGGGCUAAUACCGCAUAAGUCCGAGAGGAGAAAGCAGCAAUGCGCAGAGAGAGGAGUCCGCGGCCGAUUACGCUAGUUGGUAGGGUAAAAGCCUACCAAGGCUAAGAUCGGUAGCCGGCCUGAGAGGGCACACGGCCACACUGGCACUGAAACACGGGCCAGACUCCUACGGGAGGCAGCAGUGGGGAAUCUUGCACAAUGGGGGCAACCCUGAUGCAGCGACGCCGCGUGAGCGAUGAAGCCCUUCGGGGUGUAAAGCUCUUUCGGCAGGGAAGAUUAUGACGGUACCUGCAGAAGCAGCUGCGGCUAACUACGUGCCAGCAGCCGCGGUAAUACGUAGGCAGCGAGCGUUGUUCGGAGUUACUGGGCGUAAAGGGUGUGUAGGCGGUUUUCUAAGUCUGGUGUGAAAUCUCCCGGCUCAACUGGGAGGGUGCGCCGAAAACUGGAAGGCUAGAGUGCGGGAUGGGUAAGUGGAAUUCCUGGUGUAGCGGUGAAAUGCGUAGAUAUCAGGAGGAACCCUGUGGUGUAGACGGCUUACUGGACCGCAACUGACGCUGAGACACGAAAGCGUGGGUAGCAAACAGGAUUAGAUACCCUAGUAGUCC